rnacentral:rRNA from 1 species
AUUGAACGCUGGCGGUAGGCCUAACACAUGCAAGUCGAGCGGCUGCAGGGAGCUUGCUCCUGGAUUCAGCGGCGGACGGGCGAGUAAUGCCUAGGAAUCUGCCUGGUAGUGGGGGAUAACGUCCGGAAACGGGCGCUAAUACCGUAUACGUCCUGAGGGCGAACGUGGGGGAUCUUCGGAUCUUACGCUCUCAGAUGAGCCUAGGUCGGAUUAGCUAGUUGGUGGGGUAAAGGCCUACCAAGGCGACGAUCCGUAACUGGUCUGAGAGGAUGAUCAGUCACACUGGAACUGAGACACGGUCCAGACUCCUACGGGAGGCAGCAGUGGGGAAUAUUGGACAAUGGGCGAAAGCCUGAUCCAGCCAUGCCGCGUGUGUGAAGAAGGUCUUCGGAUUGUAAAGCACUUUUAGUUGGGAGGAAAAGCAGUAAGUUAAUACCUUGCUGUUUUGACGUUACCAAAAGAAUAAGCACCGGCUAACUUCGUG